rnacentral:rRNA from 1 species
UACAGAGGUCCCGAGCGUUGUUCGGAUUUAUUGGGCGUAAAGGGUGCGUAGGCGGCGCGGUAAGUCGGGUGUGAAAUCUCGGAGCUCAACCCUGGGCGUGCAGUGGAUACGGGCAGGCUGGAGGCAGGCAGGGGAGAACGGAAUUCCUGGUGUAGCGGUGGAAUGCGCAGAUAUCAGGAGGAACACCGGUGGCGAAGGCGGGUCUCUGGACAGUUCCUGACACUGAGGCACGAAGGCCAGGGGAGCAAACGGG